CCUUUCUCUACCUUCUGUACAUACUGACACAGAACACUGCAUGGAGGAACAAUACAUUGCUGGAUGUUGCUGGAGGUUGACAGCAAAACCAGGUUCAAACUUUGGAAAAAUAAAUUCUGAGGAAACAUAAUCAAACACCAGAAUGAACAGAAUUCUCGUUUGCUUUCAUCUUAAUAAAGACAUCGAUAUCUUACAGCAAGUGAACCGAUGGAACUUCGCUUCUUGUUAUGACAAAAAGAUUGGUGGCACGGUACCAGGAUUUGUUCUCAGUAUCCUUGUUCAUUCAGAUUUUCUGCAUGUCCUUUGUAAUGUGAAUGGUCAAAAAUGUCCAGUUCCAUUGGAAGCCAUCAACCAGUUAAUGCAUUAGCUUUCAUUGUGUGAUGUUUCACAUAAGAGAAUGAUGCAGACUUUGAGAAGAACGUGUGCUGAUUCAUGUCCAGCUCAGUUUUCUCUGACAAAAGCUGAAGGUUGCAGUUAAAUUAGUGAAUAUGAAGAGCCAGGGAACACAGUGAGUCAUCUGUACUAGUUAAUUAAACAUUGCCAGUGGUUUUCUAUUACUCAUAUCUCAUUCUUGCAUUGUUAGAAGGAUCUUUGGGAUGAUUUUUACUCCAGGUAACCAAGGGCUCUUCUAUUUGGUUUCUGAGCAAGUUUGCAUGACUUUUUGUAGUAGAUAAAUUAUAUUAUACUUUUAGAGUAUUGAUGAAGCUGUUGGCAGUAGGGUCAAAGAAUAGAUCGAGUAACUGCUGAAUUUAAUAAUUUCAAGACAAACAAUGUAAGGAAGACUUGUGAAAACAUAAGUGGAAAAACUAUUGGGAAGAGUGGCAGGCUACAUGGAUAAAUAUCCUCUUCAAUUAUAAGAAAACCAAAAAUCUGUCUAAGGAAGAGGAAAAAGGAAAAAGAAAAGUCACUGCACUCAUGCUCCAGCCCUGUUACAUAGUAAAGGUGUAGCAAAGGUUAAAGGUGAAAUUGUCAUGAACCCAAAUGGAAGUCUAAGCUUAGCCCCUUUUUCUGAUGUGAUUAAUGAAGGUAAUUAGCUUACAAUCUCAAAAGAUAAUGGAAAAGACAGUAUAAAAAUUGAAUUAGAAAAUCAAGGACUGAAGUAAAAAUCAAUUUGGAGAUUUCUAUCCUGGAAGUCUAAAAAGCUGCAUAUAAAAUUUGGAUUGAGUAGUAAGAACUAUUAAUACCUUUAUCAGGUACAGCUAAGGUAUCUUUACUUCUUGUAUAAAGAUGCAGAUUUCCAGAAUCUACACUUUAGAAAUGGGGAAAAAAUGAUAAUUCUGUACUUACUCUUUUCUCCGACUUUGACAGUAUGCAGGUUUCCGUAAUAUUUUUUAGCAGAGAGAACUAAAACUCAUGAAGGCAUAUGAAAAGGGAGCUGAAUAGCAUGAUUAUGACCUAUGCAACACUGUCCAGAUUCUGGAGCCCAGAAAAGCCAGGUGGAGGCAUAUCUUAUUGGGAUGAGAUUUGAACCAACAGAGGAAGAAUAGCUCUGUUCUUUCAUUCUCUUUUAAGGUAAAUUGAUCCAUUUGUCAUGUCUUCAAAGUCUUCUGACACUCGUGAACUGAAACCACAUCAGCAGAUCUAUGGUCUGGGCCCCUGAUUCAAGAAGAAUGCUAUCU